rnacentral:rRNA from 1 species
GAUGAACGCUGGCGGCGUGCCUAAUACAUGCAAGUCGAGCGAACAGACGAGGAGCUUGCUCCUUUGACGUUAGCGGCGGACGGGUGAGUAACACGUGGGUAACCUACCUAUAAGACUGGGAUAACUUCGGGAAACCGGAGCUAAUACCGGAUAAUAUUUCGAACCGCAUGGUUCGAUAGUGAAAGAUGGCUUUGCUAUCACUUAUAGAUGGACCUGCGCCGUAUUAGCUAGUUGGUAAGGUAACGGCUUACCAAGGCAGCGAUACGUAGCCGACCUGAGAGGGUGAUCGGCCACACUGGAACUGAGACACGGUCCAGACUCCUACGGGAGGCAGCAGUAGGGAAUCUUCCGCAAUGGGCGAAAGCCUGACGGAGCAACGCCGCGUGAGUGAUGAAGGUCUUCGGAUCGUAAAACUCUGUUAUUAGGGAAGAACAAACGUGUAAGUAACUGUGCACGUCUUGACGGUACCUAAUCAGAAAGCCACGGCUAACUACGUG